UUUUUUUUUUUUCAGGCACGAUAAAGUGAAAAAUGUGGAUCAUGGAGAAGACAUUUGGUGGUAUCUGAAUGAAUCAUCCUGCAAUAAAUGUAACACUUCUGGGCUGCCCCACCCCUGUGCUACACGCUGCUGUGAACCUUGCAUCAACCCUGACACAGAGCUCAGUUCCUCUCUGAGGUGCCCCUGAGGAUGCCUUCACACAUAUGAUUCUGUCCACACACGUCUCAGCUUUCUACCAAAUAUUUUCCCAUCAGAAACGGCCUUCCCUUCCCAGGAGGAAUUCUGGUGAGUGACUUUUCUCUAGCUCAGCACCUUUGUGUUGGGAACCCAUCCAAGCCUUUGGGGCUCAGUGCUGGGAGGCUAAUUCCAGGGUAGCUUCAAUAAAGCCUGCCAGG
rnacentral:lncRNA from 1 species